rnacentral:RNase_P_RNA from 1 species
AGGGUCGUGCGUGAUGGUCGCGGCGUUGGUCCUCUCACGAGGCGGGCGCCGAGGAAAGUCCGAGCUCCAUCGGGUAGGCUGCCAGGUAACGCCUGGGCGCCGAGAGGCGACGGUAAGGGCCACAGAAAAGAUACCGCCCCUCAGGGGGUAAGGGUGAAAAGGUGGGGUAAGAGCCCACCGCGCCGCUGGUAACAGCGGUGGCACGGUAACCCCCAGCCGGAGCAAGACCAAGUAAGCGGCAAGGUGUGACCCACACCGUCCAGGUCUCCUGGGUAGCCGCGGGUAGGUCGCUCGAGGUGGCCGGUGACGGCCAUCCCAGAUAGAUGACCAUCCGUCCGCUUGCGGACGAACAGAACUCGGCUUACGGCACGACCUCUCGC